rnacentral:rRNA from 1 species
UACGGUAGGGCAAGCGUUGUCCGGAAUCAUUGGGCGUAAAGAGCGCGUAGGCGGUCCGGUAAGUCCGCUGUGAAAGUCAAGGGCUCAACCCUUGAAAGCCGGCGGAUACUGUCGGACUAGAGUCCGGAAGAGGCGAGUGGAAUUCCUGGUGUAGCGGUGAAAUGCGCAGAUAUCAGGAGGAACACCGAUGGCGAAGGCAGCUCGCUGGGACGUUACUGACGCUGAGACGCGAAA